rnacentral:lncRNA from 1 species
GUAAGUGGACGCAGCUGAGCGGGGCAGCGCGAAGCGCGAGGCGCGUGUGCGCGUGCGCCGGGCCAGCCUCUCCACGCGAGCCGGGACCGGCCGCUUCCCCUGGCCCCGGCUGCGGUUCCUGGCGUCCGGAGCCGCCCCCUGGCGGUCGCCAGCGGUACAGCAGGAACCCGGGCCCUGGCCGCUCCCUGGCUGAACUCAGGUUCUCGGUGUUUAGUUUCGCUUUUUUUUUAAUGGUAUUUUAAAUGAUAUUUUUUAAAGUAUCUGCUGCGCCUGCGGCCCUUGCUGGACACUGGAAAUCUGCUGGUCAGUGCCAAGUCCCUCCAGGAAGCAGUUUCCUUUCUUGUGGGGGUGAACGGGUGGCCAGUGAGAGGCGAAAGCUUGUGCGCACGGCUUAAGUAUCACAUGGCUUCUCUCACGGGAGGCCAGAGUAAGGAAGGAGCAACCGGAAGCCCCCAUCUGAGGCAGACUCAUGGUGUAUCAUCAUCCGUGAAUUUACACCCAAGGAAACUGAGGCACAGAGAAGUUGAAGAGCUGUCCCAAGUCGGUAGAAGGACCAGGACUCGCACCAUGGCUGGCUGUGGACUUGCAGCCACCCUGCUGUGCUCUGAGCCUGAGGCCCUGGAAGGUCAAGGCCAAGCUUAUUUCUCUGUAAGGGACCCAACUGCUGCACAGCAGGAAAGAGGCAGGGCCUCCACUGAAAACCAGGGCUUUUCUGACUAAAAUCCACCUCUUCCGUACCCUGCUGUAGCAGUGCCCAUGUGCUGUUUAUAGCAGCGAACUCCUAGAAGCAUAAAUGGAGAUGUCCAAUGUUAUGUGGUGUAGCUAUACAAAAUAACAGGCCUUAAAAUUAUAUGGAAAAAUAUUUAUUUAUGGCCAAAGGUGUUCGAGAUAUACUGAUGUAGAAGGCAGUUAUGAAGCAGUAUGCAAUUUCAAUUUACAUGGAAAAGGUAGUAAGAGAGAAGAGUGAAAUACAAUUUCUAGCCCAUUAUAUCGCCGUAAAUGUAAAUGGCCUGACAAUACCAACGCUGAUGGAAAUAUGUGGAAAUGAGAAACUUUAUCUACUGCUGCAGGGAGUGCAUAUUGGCAACAACCCUCUGGAAAUCAACUUGGCAAUCUUGAAAUGGGGGUAACCUUCAACCCAGCAAUUUCACUUCUAAAAACACAUCUUGGGAGAAAUUUACAAAGUGUGCGAGGAGAGAUUACGGCUGUAGCUCAGUGGUAGAGUAGGCACCUUGUAUGCAUGAGGCUGUGAGUUCAAUCCCCAGCACCACACACACACACACACACACACACACACAAGGAAAUUUGGGUGGGGGAUUUUCCUUGCACCAUGCAAAACACUGGUCUCAAAAUAAUAAAAUAUUGGAAAC